GACGAACGCUGGCGGCGUGCUUAACACAUGCAAGUCGAACGGAAAGGCCCUGCUUUUGUGGGGUGCUCGAGUGGCGAACGGGUGAGUAACACGUGAGUAACCUGCCCUUGACUUUGGGAUAACUUCAGGAAACUGGGGCUAAUACCGGAUAGGAGCUCUUGCUGCAUGGUGGGGGUUGGAAAGUUUCGGCGGUUGGGGAUGGACUCGCGGCUUAUCAGCUUGUUGGGGGGGUAGUGGCUUACAAAGGCUUUGACGGGUAGCCGGCCUGAGAGGGUGACCGGCCACAUUGGGACUGAGAUACGGCCCAGACUCCUACGGGAGGCAGCAGUGGGGAAUAUGGCACAAUGGGCGGAAGCCUGAUGCAGCAACGCCGCGUGCGGGAUGACGGCCUUCGGGUUGUAAACCGCUUUCGCCUGUGACGAAGCGUGAGUGACGGUAAUGGGUAAAGAAGCACCGGCUAACUACGUG
rnacentral:rRNA from 1 species